GGGUUGUGAGGUUAAGCGACUAAGCGUACACGGUGGAUGCCCUGGCAGUCAGAGGCGAUGAAGGACGUGCUAAUCUGCGAUAAGCGUCGGUAAGGUGAUAUGAACCGUUAUAACCGGCGAUUUCCGAAUGGGGAAACCCAGUGUGUUUCGACACACUAUCAUUAACUGAAUCCAUAGGUUAAUGAGGCGAACCGGGGGAACUGAAACAUCUAAGUACCCCGAGGAAAAGAAAUCAACCGAGAUUCCCCCAGUAGCGGCGAGCGAACGGGGAGCAGCCCAGAGCCUGAAUCAGUGUGUGUGUUAGUGGAAGCGUCUGGAAAGGCGCGCGAUACAGGGUGACAGCCCCGUACACAAAAAUGCACAUGCUGUGAGCUCGAUGAGUAGGGCGGGACACGUGGUAUCCUGUCUGAAUAUGGGGGGACCAUCCUCCAAGGCUAAAUACUCCUGACUGACCGAUAGUGAACCAGUACCGUGAGGGAAAGGCGAAAAGAACCCCGGCGAGGGGAGUGAAAAAGAACCUGAAACCGUGUACGUACAAGCAGUGGGAGCACAGAGCAAUCUGUGUGACUGCGUACCUUUUGUAUAAUGGGUCAGCGACUUAUAUUCUGUAGCAAGGUUAACCGAAUAGGGGAGCCGAAGGGAAACCGAGUCUUAACUGGGCGUUAAGUUGCAGGGUAUAGACCCGAAACCCGGUGAUCUAGCCAUGGGCAGGUUGAAGGUUGGGUAACACUAACUGGAGGACCGAACCGACUAAUGUUGAAAAAUUAGCGGAUGACUUGUGGCUGGGGGUGAAAGGCCAAUCAAACCGGGAGAUAGCUGGUUCUCCCCGAAAGCUAUUUAGGUAGCGCCUCGUGAAUUCAUCUCCGGGGGUAGAGCACUGUUUCGGCAAGGGGGUCAUCCCGACUUACCAACCCGAUGCAAACUGCGAAUACCGGAGAAUGUUAUCACGGGAGACACACGGCGGGUGCUAACGUCCGUCGUGAAGAGGGAAACAACCCAGACCGCCAGCUAAGGUCCCAAAGUCAUGGUUAAGUGGGAAACGAUGUGGGAAGGCCCAGACAGCCAGGAUGUUGGCUUAGAAGCAGCCAUCAUUUAAAGAAAGCGUAAUAGCUCACUGGUCGAGUCGGCCUGCGCGGAAGAUGUAACGGGGCUAAACCAUGCACCGAAGCUGCGGCAGCGACGCUUAUGCGUUGUUGGGUAGGGGAGCGUUCUGUAAGCCUGUGAAGGUGUACUGUGAGGUAUGCUGGAGGUAUCAGAAGUGCGAAUGCUGACAUAAGUAACGAUAAAGCGGGUGAAAAGCCCGCUCGCCGGAAGACCAAGGGUUCCUGUCCAACGUUAAUCGGGGCAGGGUGAGUCGACCCCUAAGGCGAGGCCGAAAGGCGUAGUCGAUGGGAAACAGGUUAAUAUUCCUGUACUUGGUGUUACUGCGAAGGGGGGACGGAGAAGGCUAUGUUGGCCGGGCGACGGUUGUCCCGGUUUAAGCGUGUAGGCUGGUUUUCCAGGCAAAUCCGGAAAAUCAAGGCUGAGGCGUGAUGACGAGGCACUACGGUGCUGAAGCAACAAAUGCCCUGCUUCCAGGAAAAGCCUCUAAGCAUCAGGUAACAUCAAAUCGUACCCCAAACCGACACAGGUGGUCAGGUAGAGAAUACCAAGGCGCUUGAGAGAACUCGGGUGAAGGAACUAGGCAAAAUGGUGCCGUAACUUCGGGAGAAGGCACGCUGAUAUGUAGGUGAAGUCCCUCGCGGAUGGAGCUGAAAUCAGUCGAAGAUACCAGCUGGCUGCAACUGUUUAUUAAAAACACAGCACUGUGCAAACACGAAAGUGGACGUAUACGGUGUGACGCCUGCCCGGUGCCGGAAGGUUAAUUGAUGGGGUCAGCGCAAGCGAAGCUCUUGAUCGAAGCCCCGGUAAACGGCGGCCGUAACUAUAACGGUCCUAAGGUAGCGAAAUUCCUUGUCGGGUAAGUUCCGACCUGCACGAAUGGCGUAAUGAUGGCCAGGCUGUCUCCACCCGAGACUCAGUGAAAUUGAACUCGCUGUGAAGAUGCAGUGUACCCGCGGCAAGACGGAAAGACCCCGUGAACCUUUACUAUAGCUUGACACUGAACAUUGAGCCUUGAUGUGUAGGAUAGGUGGGAGGCUUGGAAGUGUGGACGCCAGUCUGCAUGGAGCCGACCUUGAAAUACCACCCUUUAAUGUUUGAUGUUCUAACGUUGACCCGUAAUCCGGGUUGCGGACAGUGUCUGGUGGGUAGUUUGACUGGGGCGGUCUCCUCCUAAAGAGUAACGGAGGAGCACGAAGGUUGGCUAAUCCUGGUCGGACAUCAGGAGGUUAGUGCAAUGGCAUAAGCCAGCUUGACUGCGAGCGUGACGGCGCGAGCAGGUGCGAAAGCAGGUCAUAGUGAUCCGGUGGUUCUGAAUGGAAGGGCCAUCGCUCAACGGAUAAAAGGUACUCCGGGGAUAACAGGCUGAUACCGCCCAAGAGUUCAUAUCGACGGCGGUGUUUGGCACCUCGAUGUCGGCUCAUCACAUCCUGGGGCUGAAGUAGGUCCCAAGGGUAUGGCUGUUCGCCAUUUAAAGUGGUACGCGAGCUGGGUUUAGAACGUCGUGAGACAGUUCGGUCCCUAUCUGCCGUGGGCGCUGGAGAACUGAGGGGGGCUGCUCCUAGUACGAGAGGACCGGAGUGGACGCAUCACUGGUGUUCGGGUUGUCAUGCCAAUGGCACUGCCCGGUAGCUAAAUGCGGAAGAGAUAAGUGCUGAAAGCAUCUAAGCACGAAACUUGCCCCGAGAUGAGUUCUCCCUGACUCCUUGAGAGUCCUGAAGGAACGUUGAAGACGACGACGUUGAUAGGCCGGGUGUGUAAGCGCAGCGAUGCGUUGAGCUAACCGGUACUAAUGAACCGUGAGGCUUAACCUUACAACGCCGAAGGUGUUU
rnacentral:rRNA from 1 species